rnacentral:rRNA from 1 species
AACGCGAAGAACCUUACCUGGGCUCGAACGGCUUCGGACAAUCUUUGGAAACAGAGACUUCCCGCAAGGGACUGGAGUCGAGGUGCUGCAUGGCUGUCGUCAGCUCGUGUCGUGAGAUGUUGGGUUAAGUCCCGCAACGAGCGCAACCCUUGUCCUGUGUUGGCAUGCCGCAAGGCGCAACUCUCAGGAGACCGCCAGCGAUAAGUUGGAGGAAGGUGGGGAUGACGUCAAGUCAUCAUGGCCUUUAUGUCCAGGGCCACACACGUGCUACAAUGGGCGGUACAAAGCGCUGCCAACCCGCGAGGGGGAGCUAAUCGCCAAAAACCGUCCUCAGUUCGGAUUGCAGGCUGCAACUCGCCUGCAUGAAGCUGGAAUCGCUAGUAAUGCUAUAUCAGAACGAUAGCGUGAAUACGUUCCCGGGCCUUGUACACACCGCUAGUC